AACUAAAUUGUGAAAUAAAUAAUAGAUAUUAUAGAAACUAUAAUUGAUUUAAGUACAACUAUCCCAAGUACUAGUAGUACAAGUCAUGAGCCACUAUGAAUUAGAUUUACAAAUUUGAUGUGAAGAAUAAAUACAAUAUCUAUUUGAAGUUUACAUAAACAGAGCUUAAAACCAAAACUACCAUAAAUAAGAGGUAGCUUGAAUCUGAAACACGGGUACGUCUUCAAUGUAAGGUUUCGUUCUCCAUAGCACGCAGCUCCAAGAUCUGCACGCAAAGUGUUGAAGUGUAGUAUGAGUACAACUGACCCCAUGUACUCAUUAAGUAUUUUGGCUAACCUCGGUGAAGUAUUAAUAAGGUAUUAUAUUAAAUAUACUCACUUACUAUGUACCUAUGCAGAUAAUAAGUAGGAGAAAUAAGGUAAGAGAUAUGUCGAAUAAUGGUAAGAGCGUCAACUAGAGAGCUAUGGAGUAGUUAACAAACAUGGCAACAAGUCAUAACCUCACACCCAUUUCUACGAAUGAAACAAUAAUCAUGAGGUGUGCGCAAGGAUCAUAACCAAAUAUCAUAAACAAAUAUUGUUGCAGCAUGUAACUCGAUUCCAAUCUCAAUUAACACUGUUACGGCGUGCAACCCAAUCCCAAUAUCAAUUAAACUCUACUACGACGUGCAACCCAAUCCUAAUACCAAUAAACACUAUUGUGGCGUACAACCCAAUCUCAAUAUAUAGUAAUAUCAUAUAAAACCACAACAACAACCAAACAUGGGCUAAGUUCACAACGCAACACUAAGAAAACGAACAUCCAAUAUUCAACUAGGUAAUACAACUCAAAAGGAGUAAGAUAAGCAGUCCAAUAUCAAAAUCUAGUCUACUGUGUAUAAUGACAAGGUUUCCACAAAGCAUACACACAACUAAUCUAAAAAAUCACCCAAUUCGGUUAAGAAAAGAAGAGUAGGACAUGAAACGAGUAAAGAUGCUUGUCAAGUAAUAACAAGGAACAAAUGAAGGCAUUCAAUAUAUGAAAUCAUGUAGCAAGUAGAAACGUGAAGCAAGUAAAGGCAUUUAAUAAGUGAAGACAUAUGAUAAGUAAAGGCAUAUAAUAAGUGGAGACGAGUAGUAAGUGAAAGUAUGUAGUAAGUGAAGACAUGUAGCAGGUUAAAACAUCUAACAAGUAAAUCACGUGAUAGUUAGAGGCAUGUAACAUGUAUGGUCUAACAACAAGUAAAAGCAUGAAUUUGAAGAGGACAUGUAGCAGAAAUAAAUCAAGUAAAACCGUAAGUGUAACAGUAAUAGACAAGGUAAGGACAUAGCUAUAAUAGUAACAUGCCAAAGGGAAACCAUAGAGGUAACUACAUAAGAAGCUCAAAUGGAAGGUAUCAUACAAAACAAAUAAGCAUUAAUAGAAACCAAAGUAGAGGGCAUGUAAGUGCUUAACAAAUGAGUAAUUAUAAUAGAAAUCCAACUACCUUUAUUUUUGCACGGUAAUAACCAACAAACCAAUCUUAUUUCAAACCGUACUGAAAUACUCAUCGUGCCAACAUCAUAUCAACCACACAUAAUUACCCAUCAUGCCAAACAUAGCCCUACGACCCUAAUCAUUAUCUCUUAUUAUGAAUAAAGAAUCUCAAGUAACAUGACACAGGGGAAUGCCGCUCAAAUAUACAAAACGACCGGCCAGGUCAUUACACCUGCGUAUCAUGACACCGCAUUAAUCAUACCAUUACAUAGUUUAGGGAAACAUAAUAUACAAAAGAGAAUUUUUUUGGGUUUACAUAAUUUUUUUUGAUGUUUCCAUUAUAUGACUCAAUACAAAAAUACAUAAAGGAAAAUACAAUAAAGACAUACACUAAAAAUCAACUCCUCUUACAUUACACAACAAAUGACUCAAAUUCAAAGUGGAACACAAAAGUAAAAGACUCUAAAACCCUGAUCUCGCAAGCAACCCUUCGACUAUCUCUUCAUUCACUACCCCGACCUAUUUCCUACCUCACCAUGGAGAACCUACAAAUCUAUCUUGAUUUGGCAUAUAAUUCUCAUCACUAAGAUGACAAACAUAUCUUUACUCAUUUUUUUUACAACCAGUACACCUUUAAGGGGUAUACUCAGCUAUCUCCAGGAUUCUCCUCUUAGUGUGCCCUUGGUCCUGAAACAUUCUUCAGAUUUGCUGCUCACGGGCUUGGACCAACUCUGAAGCCCUUUCUUUUUUAUUCUUCACAUCUACCAAAUCAUUUUCCAAUCAGUUGAGUAGGUCAUAAAAAUGGUUCUUCUUGGCUUCAAACUCUGUGAAUUAGCGGCUCAUGACUUCUUCAAUGGCACUUAACUCUUUUCUCAAACUUGGGAUUUCAUCAUCAUGACUCUUCUUGGACGGCGAGCCAAUCUUACCCGACUUUCCGCGUCUUCCCCCCAAUUGUAUUAUCUUUUCUAUAGAAUUUUUUAACUAUUUCUGUUUGUUUUGCAAAAUAUAAUUGUAUUCCUUCAAUUUUUCCCUAAGGUUUACAAUAUUAGAGCUAGCCUUGGAAGGCUUUGUUCUCAUGGAUCAACCUAUUCCUUUCUCCCUUAGACUCUUGAGCUUGUAAAUAUUUUUCAAAACUGAGUACUCUAAGCUUUUCUGCAGUGAUCCGAUGGUAGUCCGAUACUCUUGUUUUUUUUCUCCCCAGGCCUAUUUUUCUUGCAUUUUAUCAAUGAGUCCCUAGACAUCUAGACUUUUAUUAGUUCUCACAAGAUCAUCAUUCACAUAAGGUAUAUUAUCGUAUAAUUCAAUAUAUCACUGAUCCACUUCACCCUUUGUUGGAAUUAGUAUUUGUUUAUCAGACUCCAAGAACUGACAUCACUCCAAGUUUGCGGAAGUGAAUCUUUGGGAAAUGAGGCUUCUGGGUGUAGCUCAAUUGCAUGAAUGCUAAGAUACUUAGAUAUAUUAAUUUAGUUGAUUUGAACUUGUGAGCAAUGUUUGGUUGUGAUCCAGAAUUUCUAAUUGUGAUUCGACGUGUUUCGCAAAGUUGGAGAGUUUAGAAGUUAACAGAUAAACUUUGAUCUUUGAUUCUUGGUUUUGAUAUUAUUUAUGAUUUUUUGAGAAUUUGGAUAAGUUUGAUUAAGGUAUUAGGACUUGUUGGUAUUGUUGGAUGAGGGCCCAGGGGGCUCGAGUGUGCUUCGGGAUGGUUUCAGACCAUUUUGGGAUGAUUUGGUAUUGCUAGUGCUGGUGUGGCGCACCUGUGUUACCUGUUGCGCAAGUGAAAGGUCACAGAUGCGAUGCCUCAAGAGCGCCUAUGAGGUGUACAUUUACGGAGAUCAAGGUGCAUUUGCAAGGUUUGGCUGGUAGGCAGGAUUGCACCUACAAAAGUGAUUGUCAUACCUGCGGUACCCACAUCUAUGGAAGACGGGCUGCAAAUGGAAGGUUGGUUUGUGGCCGAAAUUGUGUAGAAGCGAGUGGUGGCUCGCAUAUUUGAGCAUAUAGGGCAUUGAUGUGAGAAUUCCUAACACACUUUAUAUUCCGAGGGUUAGCAGAGUUUUUCACUAUUUUGAGUUUUGGAGCAUGGGGAGAGGCGAUUUUGGAAGGAAUUUUCACUACAUUGUGGAUAAGUAAUUCCCACUUGGAUUUGAUAUAUAUAUAUAUAGAUACAUACACACACACACACUUAGAACAAGAUAUAUCUAUAUCUUGAUUCCCCGUGAAUUUAUACACUUAGAACAUAGAUUUUUAAAGAAAAACUUAGGUUUUUGUCUACAACUUAAGAGAGUGUAUUAUGGAGAUUUGAGAGUCGAUUUGGACUCAAUUUUAGAAUCUAAUCACAUAUUUGGACAUGUGGGAUUAUGAGUAGUUGGGAUCUACCCCUUGACUUGGGUUUUGAUUAUGUAAGCCCAAGUUAACUUUUGCUGACAUUUGGGUAUUUGAUUAAAAAUUGAAGCUUUAUUUUUUAAGAGUGAUUCAUAUAGAUUUUUUUGACGUUAUUGAGUUGUAUUUAACUAGAUUCGAGUUGUUUAGAGUUUGACUUGAGAGGAAAAUCUAUUUUGGAAGGUUGAAGUUAUUAUCGGAUAGAGGUAAGUCUCUUGUCUAUACUUGUAAUAGGGAAUUCUUCACAUACGUGAUCAAUUUGCUACUUGCUACUUGAACUAGGAUCCACGUAUAUACAAGGUGACAAACAUAUAUUUAUAGCUAGGUUAUGACCAUAUCCGGUAGAGUUUAGCUUAUGAUUAUCACUUGUUUGGACUAUGUGAAUUAAUAUCUAUGUUUCAUUGAUUCUAUGUCUACACGAUGACUCAAAUUAUGAUUUUGAAGCAUGUUUAAGGUUAUGACUUAUUGAAUUGGGCAUGAAGGAUUACUUUGCCAUGUUAAGAUUUAUAAUAAAUCUGUAGUCAUACACUUAUCUUAUUUUCUCCAUGAUUUGAUGGUUAUAUGACUUAGUUUAUUAAUGUUAAAUAAUAUGGUUAGACUUAUGCAUGUUGAAUUAUGUUAUUGAGUCGUUGUGAUAAAUUUAAUUACAUGAUUAGCUAUAGCCAUCUUUUAGCCGUAUAAGCAGCAUUAGAGGAUUGUGCUUUAGAUUCUGAGGGAGAAGGUAUUGUAUGAGAUGGUCUCUAAGUGCGAUUUUUGGUUUAACCUGGAAACAUUCUUGGACCACGUGAUUUUUAGUGAUGGAAUCAAGGUGGAUACAAAGAAGGUUUAGGCGGUUCAGAGUUGGCCUAAACGUUCUAUAGCUACAAAGAUCGGGAGGUUCUUCGGUUUGGCUUUCUACUAUUGUCGCUUCGUGGAAGGACUCUCAUCUAUUUCAGCUCCGAUGACAAACUUCACUCAGAAGGUCGCUCCAUUUAGAUGACCUGAUGAGUGUGAAGAGAGCUUUCAGAAGCUCAAGACUAGUUUGAUUACAAUUUCAGUUUUCGUAUUACCCUCAGGAUCGGGGAUGUAUAAUGUCUAUUGUGAUGCUUUGAGAGUUGGCAUUGGUUGUGUGUUAAUGGAGGACAAUAAUGUGAUUGUCUAUGUGUCACGAUAGUUGAAGCUCCAUGAAAAGAAUGAUCUAGUUAAUGAUUGGAGUUAGAAACUAUUGUACAAGAUUUAGAAGCAUUACUUGUAUAGUGUGUCAUGUGAGGUUUACAUUUAUCAUCGGAGACUUCAACAAUUGUUCGAGCAAAAGGAUUUGAAUUUGAAACAGCGUAUGUGGUUGGAAUUGUUGAAGGAUUAUGAUAUCACUAUCUUGUAUAAUCCAGGGAAAGUGAAUGUGGUAGCGGAUGCUUUAAGUAGAAAGGUGGAAAGUGUGGGGAGUUUGGCAUUUAUUACAACUGUGGAGAGGCCUUUGGCUAGGGACGUUCAUGUCUUGUCCAAUAGAUUUGUGAGGUUUUAUAUUUUUGAGUCUAGUAGAGUUCUUGAUUGUGUUGUUGCGCAGUCAUCCAUGUUUGAGCGUAUUAAGGGUCGCUAGUAUGAUGAUUCUCAUUUGCUAGUUCGUAAGGACACAGUGCUAUGAGAUGGUUCUAAGGAUGUGGUCAUUGGUGAUGAUGGUGUACUAUGACUUUAGGGUCGGAUUUGUGUUCCUAAUGUGGAUGGAUUGAGGGACUUUAUUCUUGAGAAUACUCACCAUUCGAUGUAUUCUAUCCAUCCAGGUGCGAGGAAGAUGUAUCAUGAUUUGAAGCAGCAUUAUUGGUGGUGGAGGAUGAAGAAGAGAAUUGUUGGGCAUGUUUUGCAGUGUUUGAGUUGUCAGCAGGUCAAAUAUGAGCAUAAAAAAUUGGGUGGUUUGAUUCAGAGAUUAGUGAUAUUAGAGUGGCAGUGGGAGCACAUUACUAUGACUUUGUAGUAGGAUUUCCAUGGACCUUGAGAAAGUUUGAUGCUAUUGAGGUCAUUAUGGAUAGGUUGACCAAUUCUGCAUAUUUCAUUCCUGUGAUGACUACUUACACUUCAGAUAUAUUGGCUCAGAUCUACAUCUAGGAGAUAGUUUGUUUGCAUGGUGUGCCUGUUUCUAUCAUUUCAAAUUGGGUACUCAGUUCACAUUACACUUUUGGAGAGCUUUUUAAAGAGAGUUUGGCGUGUGGGUGGAGAUUAGAUAUGCAUUUCACCCAUAGACGGAUGGACAGUCCGAAUAGACGAUAUGUUGAGAGCCUCAGUUAUUGAUUUUUGGGGAUUGUGGGAUAAAUUUCUAUCAUUUGCAAAGUUUUCUUACAACAAUAGCUACCAAUCCAAUAUCCAAAUGGCUCCAUAUGAGGCCUUAUAUGGGAGGCAGUGUCAUUCUCUGGUUAGUUAGUUUGAGCAUGGUAAGGCUAGGUUGUUGUGUACAUAUUUGGUUUGUGAUGCUUUAAAAAAGGUGAAGUUUAUUUAGGAGCGUAUUCAUACAACGCAGUCUAUGCAGAAGAAUUAUGCUGUUAGGAAGAUUCGUAAUGCGGAUUUCAUGGAGGGUGAAAAGGUUCUUCUUAGAGUUUUGCCUAUGAAGGGAAUGACAAGAUUUGGAAAGAAGGUCAAGUUGAGCCCUCGGUAUAUUAGUCCAUUUGAGGUUUUAGAGAGAGUUGGAGAGGUGUCUUACAUGCUUGCUUUGCCACCCAGCUUGUCGGGAGUUCAUCUGGUAUUCCAUGUUUCCAUGCUUCAGAAGUAUUAUAAAGACAAGGCAGAUGUGUUAGAUUUUAGUUCAAUGCAAUUGAGUGGUAAUCUAGCUUAUGAAGAAGAGCCCGCAGAAAUUUUGGAUAGGCAGGUUCCGAAGUAGAGAUCGAAAGAGAUUGCAUCCAUGAAGGUUUAGUGGAGCAGCUCCGAUCUCUCGCGGCUAUAGCAAGGGGCGCAAGUGUCUGAUCAUCGGAUCCAAUGGUGCAUGUCCUUGUCACACCUGCUUUUUUACCACACCCGCGAGAAGGGUGUAUAGGGGAGUUUUUUCAAUUAAAGGACAAUCGAAACGGGAUUAUUUUAUUUAAAGAUUCAGAGUCGUCACUUGGGAGAUUUGUGGUAUCCCAAGUCACUGAUUCAAAUCCCGAAUCGAGGAAAGAUUGACUUUGUAUUACAAUCCGCGAACACAGAAAUCCGGGUAAGGAAUUCUGUUUACCUGGGAGAAGGUGUUAGGCAUUCCCGAGUUCCGUGGUUCUAGCACGGUCGCUCAACUGUUACAAUUGGCCUAUUAUUUGAUUUUAAAAUACUUUUGACCCUAUGUGCAUUUUAACUUUAAACCACUUUUAAUUACUUUAAGGAAGUUUCAAUGCCAUCUAAAACACGUCUUGAACCAUGCCAAAUGAAAUGCACCCGCGGUCCACGACAUAUUUUAUUUAGCGUUGUUGAGAUUUGGAUUUGGGUCACAUGAAAUGCACACCCGAGUUUUGGAAAUUAGGCAUCAUAACUAUGUCACGGGAACCAUACCCAUAGUCACGAUGAUUUAUUAAUCACGCUUAAAGCAUUCUACGAUGUUCAUACCUUGGAAACCAAAUUUCCUUUUUCAUUUUUCAUAACGUCCCUGCGAUAAUUCGAUUAACACAUGAAGACAAACUUUUUAAUACUCCUCUAAAUGUGUGAAUAUAUAUUCGGACAACAGUGAGAAGAAUUAACCUCACUCUGCCCAAAAAAAUUCAAAUUAGAGGAAGACUAAAUGCAUGUUUAACAAAAUUUAAGAGCAGUACAACAAUCCGAGAUACAAAAAGAGCUACUACUAUAAAAUAAAUGGAUUAACAUGUUCAAUAAAUAUUAGAGAUAUGAUCAACAGUGAAAUAUGCAAAAGUUGUAUCAUGCACAAUAGCAAACUCCAUCCCAUACCUCCCCACCUAAUAAAUUGCACUGCUUAUAAAUAAGACGAAAAAAGAAUAAGUUAUAUCUGAAGCAACAAGCUGAAAAAGAUAAAGAUGAACCAAGUAAACAACAAAACCUACUAAUUGGAAUAACCAUAACUUGAGAAAUACUUUACUAUUCCAUUACACAAAAUUCGGUACUCAGUCAAAACCAAAAAGAAGUGACUUUAUUUAAUGGUGAUGAAGUAAUUACAAUGAGUGACCUUUGCAAACUUACGUAAUUUGACUGUGGACAUUAUUAUUAAUACGCAAAAAGAGUAGAAGGGAAACAGAUAAAAUCAUAGGAUCUGCAUUUUAUUUGGAAGUCGACGUGUAUGUAACUGGUGAUAAAAUUUUAAUAUUCAACAAUCAACCAUAGAUUUCUUAUAUUUUCUCUUUUGAACAAGUUUUUAUUCGUUUUUCAGCUACAACCAACAACAUUUGCCAGAAAAGUGGAAAACAAUCCAUAAAGCAACGCAGAGAAAAACAUCAAGGAUUUGAAUAUGUCAAAACAAAAUUCUAUUAAGAUAUUUAAAUAUAAGAACCUGCGUGGUCUUCAUUUUUAGCUAACAUGAAAGAAGCAGCAGCCGAAAGUCAACAACAAUCAACAAUGAAUAAUAAUCUAGUUUUUCUGAAAUUUUUCUUUUGAAUUUUUGAAGACAAGACCUUGGAUAGAACCUCUCGCUGGCGGUCAGAUCUG
rnacentral:lncRNA from 1 species